rnacentral:rRNA from 1 species
AUGAACGCUGGCGGCGUGCCUCAUACAUGCAAGUCGAGCGCACAGACGAGGAGCUUGCUCCUCUGACGUUAGCGGCGGACGGGUGAGUAACACGUGGAUAACCUACCUAUAAGACUGGGAUAACUUCGGGAAACCGGAGCUAAUACCGGAUAAUAUAUUGAACCGCAUGGUUCAAUAGUGAAAGACGGUUUUGCUGUCACUUAUAGAUGGAUCCGCGCCGCAUUAGCUAGUUGGUAAGGUAACGGCUUACCAAGGCAACGAUGCGUAGCCGACCUGAGAGGGUGAUCGGCCACACUGGAACUGAGACACGGUCCAGACUCCUACGGGAGGCAGCAGUAGGGAAUCUUCCGCAAUGGGCGAAAGCCUGACGGAGCAACGCCGCGUGAGUGAUGAAGGUCUUCGGAUCGUAAAACUCUGUUAUUAGGGAAGAACAAAUGUGUAAGUAACUAUGCACGUCUUGACGGUACCUAAUCAGAAAGCCACGGCUAACUACGUG